rnacentral:rRNA from 1 species
AGCGAACGCUGGCGGCAGGCUUAACACAUGCAAGUCGAGCGCCCCGCAAGGGGAGCGGCAGACGGGAGAGUAACACGUGGGAACAUACCUUUUGGUUCGGAACAACUGAGGGAAACUUCAGCUAAUACCGGAUAAGCCCUUACGGGGAAAGAUUUAUCGCCGAAAGAUUGGCCCGCGUCUGAUUAGCUAGUUGGUGAGGUAACGGCUCACCAAGGCGACGAUCAGUAGCUGGUCUGAGAGGAUGAUCAGCCUCACUGGGACUGAGACACGGCCCAGACUCCUACGGGAGGCAGCAGUGGGGAAUAUUGGAAAAUGGGGGCAACCCUGAUCCAGCCAUGCCGCGUGAGUGAUGAAGGCCUUAGGGUUGUAAAGCUCUUUUGCCCGGGAAGAUAAUGACGGUACCGGGAGAAUAAGCCCCGGCUAACUUCGUG